rnacentral:tRNA from 1 species
GCGAGGGUGGUGGAACUGGUAGACACGUACGUUUGAGGGGCGUAUGCUGAACAGCGUGAGGGUUCGAAUCCCUUCCCUCGCA